UCUACGUUUUCCCGGUAUUCCUCCUGACUGGAUAACGAAGCACGAGCCAGCAGUGAUACGUGUAGAUUGCCCAUUUGGAAGUGGGCGAAAGGCAGGUGAGAGCGGUGACAGACCGUGGUUGAGGCGCGAACCUGGGUCGAUGCUCGCACCCAGCCAGAGGAUAGCAAUGUGAAGUCUCUCUCACCACACUGGAACCAAUGGAGUUCGAUAACUUUGGGGUAGCUGAACUCGCAAACAUAUAGCAUUUUAUGCACAUCUAUGCUCUAGAAGUCUCUCGAGAUCUCAAGUAUGAUUGUUUCCACGUAGGAUCGCAACGAUGAUAGGGAUGAAAGUGCCGAUGAGGAGAUAAACAGCGUCGGUAACGAAAGUCAUGCAAGAUUUAGGACCGAGAAACGCACAGAGGCCUAGGUGACCAGACUUCGUAACACGAGAGAUCAGCCGAUUGCGUUUUUCAAAGAAUCAUAACACGAACGGGGGUAGUGCUUGAGGAGAAGAAAUCCCGACGGGAAAAGCGCAGAUUCUUGAAGAAAGACACCUAGCGCUCGGUGCCGGGCAACGGCGCGGUAUUCCUCUCCCUGUUUGUCUCCUUGGCGCAAACCGCAGUGUUGAAGCGGACUCAUACCCAGGCACAAUGUCAGGAAAGCACCAAUGAAAUGACGAAGGCAACCAGCAUCGAUAUCUCCACCAACGUCCGUUCACUAUUCACCAACUCACGUGCAUUCGCUUGCGGCCUCAUCGAGUGACUGACUGACUGUGCACCCGUAGUGAAGGAUUCCGGCUUACAGCAGUAGCGACAUACGGCCUCGAUGAUGACAGUAUUAUACGAGGCACCAAGACGCCGACGCAAUAGCCAGAGGAGCGACGCGGAUGGGAGCGGAGACCCGACCAGCUGCUGAGAACGAGCAGUGAGUGGCUGGCUGGGUGGGCGAAGGAGUCAAGCCAGUCAACCAACGGACGGAUGUGGGCUAUCUACCACGCGCGACAGCGAUGACAACAAACGACUCCGAUGACUGCCACUGGGCCUAUAACAACUGCUUCUACCACCGCACGAGUCGACCUCAAAGCAGAAGGGGGAAGAGCAGUAACCGGAAAUGAAGAUUCGAAUUUGGUGGUGCCUUUCCUAUCCCCCUCAUUACAUUUACUCGUUCAGUCGACUUUGUAUUCUGACUUUUCCCAGCCGCGCAAACUGCUCUCAUCCAGGAUGCGGCUGGCGGGCCAUGAACGUUACCAACUGCUACGAGAGCGUAGCACCAAUAGUUCAGAUACAGAAUGACAGGAUCGGCUCGGAGUUCAGUUUGACAACGUAUCGCAAACGAAAAGUCGAUUGUGGAGGAAACUUUUGAAAUGCUGGUUGAAUGAGUGAACUUAACGGGGGAGUAAUGGGCACCGAUGGCAGCGGCGCAAGUAGCAGGAGAAAUGGUAACUGAGACGGAAGCAAGCGGGCGGGUAACUUGGAUUUCUGGCUAAAUUUUUCGCGAAUAUGUGGAGCGCGUUGGUAGCACGAUACAUAUGGGCAGCGGAUUAUAGAGAACCGGGUUGCUCGCAAAUGAUAGUGUGUGCUCUAAGAAAAUGGCCGAACGAACUAAAACUCGUCCUAUAUGGCGGUGACUUAUCCAACGCGGUGAAAAGCGUGAAGUAAGCUAGUAAAUCGUUUUGGAGCCAUAUCGGAAUAAUUACAAUUAGAGCUAAUAUUAAGCUGGAUAAUAAGUUGCCACGUCUUUUUACUGAACUGAAAGUAUUACUUCACAAUCCGCCCAUGACGAUAGGUUAUUAUACUAUGUAUCCCCCGUCAUUGUUCACAAAUUUCUCCAACCUUUCGAUCGAAUAAUAGAUGACAUUUUGCUACAAGGUAGCGGGUCUUGUCUUGGAAAAGUUUUCCAAGUACGUUUUGAGCUAUUGAUAUGUGUCGAAGAUAGGGCCACAACGGUAAUUCCCCGUUGAAAGAAAAAGGUAAAAAUCCAUCCCGUAAAAUCCGCAAAGUAUAGAGGAUGCAACGAAGCCUUAUAUCUGAAAUCCAAAGAAGCAGAUUUGUGGUAUUAUUUGAUAUUGCCUAGUUAACGGAAUUGAGCCAAAUAAUCGACUGUCUCGUUCGGAUGAAACAAUUUCCAGUGAAUUAGGCCUUUGCAAUUCUAAUAAAUGCCAGACAUAAUUUUUUUAAAGAAGUUCUAGUUAGCUCCUGAGACCUCGGCUUUUUUUCUGAUUUCCUGUUUUCCUGAGAAACGACUUAAAUUUUUGGUUUACAUCAUUUCCCAUUACCGGUGACAAUUCAGAAUAGGAAUCGAUCAUUGUGGCUGCAUAACGCCCGAUAUCGGACGAGAUGUACUGAUGUAACGUUGCACUGUAAUUCUCUGUUGGAUCGUCUGUAAGGUACCUACGCUUGGAGUUUUUGUGUGAACCUAAAAGACUUGAAGUAGUUAACAACAGCCUUGAGGCUUCAGCCCAUCUCUUCGACUAUUUCCGGGGCCGUUUCUCGGCCGUCAUCCUUCAAAGGUGCUUUCAGAAACCUCAAGUCGAUCAUAAAAGAGCACAUACUCUAGAUUUUUGAUGCUAUUUUCGAACAUAAUAAACCAUUCUUGAGCAGUCUUU